AUUGAACGCUGGCGGCAGGCCUAACACAUGCAAGUCGAACGGUAACAGGAAGCAGCUUGCUGCUUUGCUGACGAGUGGCGGACGGGUGAGUAAUGUCUGGGAAACUGCCUGAUGGAGGGGGAUAACUACUGGAAACGGUAGCUAAUACCGCAUAACGUCGCAAGACCAAAGAGGGGGACCUUAGGGCCUCUUGCCAUCGGAUGUGCCCAGAUGGGAUUAGCUAGUAGGUGGGGUAACGGCUCACCUAGGCGACGAUCCCUAGCUGGUCUGAGAGGAUGACCAGCCACACUGGAACUGAGACACGGUCCAGACUCCUACGGGAGGCAGCAGUGGGGAAUAUUGCACAAUGGGCGCAAGCCUGAUGCAGCCAGGCCGCGUGUAUGAAGAAGGCCUUCGGGUUGUAAAGUACUUUCAGCGGGGAGGAAGGGAGUAAAGUUAAUACCUUUGCUCAUUGACGUUACCCGCAGAAGAAGCACCGGCUAACUCCGU
rnacentral:rRNA from 1 species